rnacentral:lncRNA from 1 species
AUUUGUAGAGGUGUCAGAGCUCAAAGCGAAAAAGAUAGAGAUAAAACAUUUUGGGUGGCAUGCUUUUCCUGUCAGCGAAAAUGAUCGAGUAGUUCUCAAUACUUCUCAUGCUAGAUAUAUCAUGGGCGGUUCCCAAACAGAAAAUAAAGUUUAUUCCUUUUUCCACCAUACUUUCACUUUCCAUGGCUAACUGUAUCCACGGGUGCCUUCCAUGCCAACACUUUUCCAAGGAAUUUAUUAUUUGACAACAUAAAGUAAAUUCAUUUUUCAUUUUGGGACUGGGCAUCCCUAAUACCUUUGUCGCACUCUCGUGCAAUGGCAAGUGAAUAAACACUCAUCUUGAGAAUAACACAUCUAGCACGGAAAUAUAUCAGUCACCCCCUACCGUUUCAUGAGCAGUACAAGCACACAAAAGAGAAAUUUAUUUUGAAAAUUAGAAAUGGCACAUACAAAUUUGCUUAGAACUGCAAAAGAAUGCCGCAUAUAGGUAGGUAUAGUGGACUCAUGUGGCAAAAACUGGUUUAAAGGAUUUUGGAUGCACAAGUAGUGAUCAUACUUAGUGCAAAUGAAGGCUAGCAAAAGAUUGAGAAUCAUCCAACCAAGAAACGAAAAAUCUCAUAAGCAAGCAUUAAGCAUAAAUAACACCAAAUAAUGCACCACAAGUAGGAUGUAAUUUCAUUGCAUAACUAUUGACUUUCGUGCUUGCAUAGGGAAUCACAAACCUUAACACCAAUACUCUUACUAAAGCAUAAUUACUCGUCAACAUGGCUCACAUAUUAUAUCACCAUAUCGCAAAACUAUUACAAGGCAUCAAGUUUAUUUUGUCCAAUGAUCUUCAUGAAAUUUUUUAUUAUAUCCCUCUUGAAUAUCUAUCACUUUGGGGCUAGUUUCAUAUGUUGCUUUUAAUAAGCUCAAACAAAUAUAAGUGAAGAACAUGAGCAUAAAAAAAUUUCUUCUCUCAAAAUAAUCUAAGUGAAGCAUGAGAGAAUUUCUGAAAAAAUUUACUAACUCUCAAAUAAAUCUAAGUGAAGCAUGAGAAAAUUUCUUCAAAAAAAAUACUAAAGCACACCGUGCUCAAAAAGAUAUAAGUGAAGCAUAGAGAGCAAUUCUAACAAGUCAUAGCAUAAUUUUGGCUUUCUCAAAUAGGUGUGUCCAGCAAGGAUUCAUGACUAAAAAUAAAAGGCAAAACAAGCAAAGACUCAUAUCAUACAAGACGCUCCAAGCAAUACUCAUGAUAUGUGACGAAUAAAAAUAUAGCUCCAAGUAAAAUACUGAUGGUUGUUAGAAGAAAAAGGGGAUGUCACUCGGGCAUCCCCAAGCUUAGUUGCUUGAUUCUCUUUGGAUAAUAGUUGGGAUGCCAUGGGCAUCCCCAAGCUUAGGCUCUUCUUACUCCUUAUUCCUUCAUCCAUCGUAAUAUCAUCCAAAACUUGAAAACUUCAAUCACACAAAACUCAACAAAACCUUUGUGAGAUCCGUUAGUAUAAGAAAGCAAAUCACUACUAUAAGUAUUGUUGCCAACCCAUUCAUAUUUUAUUUGUGCAUUAUAUCUACUUUAUUCCAACUUUUUUAUAGCAAAAACUCUUUAAAGGAAACCAUAGAAUCAUCAAAACAAGCAAACAACACAAAGAAAACAGAAUCUGUCAAAAACAAAACAGUCUGUAGCAAUCUGGAUAUUUUGAAUACUUAUGUAACUCCAAAUAUUUUGAAAAAUUAGGACGACGUGAGUAAUUUGUAUACUAAUCUUAUAAAGAAAGAGUCAGUAUUUUAUCGCACUUCUUUUAAAAAUGAGAAUUAUUUUUCUGGGCACAAAAGUUUCUGUUUUUAGUAAGAUCAAAACAACUAUCACCCAACAUGAUCCAAAAGUCUUUGCUUGGCACAAACACUAAUUAAAACACAAAAAACACAAUCAUAACAGUAUAAUAAUUGUGCAAACACUUAAGAACAGAAAUUUAAAAAAAGACAAAAAUAAAUUUUAUUCAUUGGGUUGCCUCCCAACAAGCAUUAUCGUUUUAUGCCCCUAGCUGAGCAUAUUGAGCAUGCUCUUUUGUAGGGUUUCAUGCGCUUUAAUCAUGGCUGGAACAAAGAAGUUAUUAUUCAGUUUUAUGCCACGCUAUACAUCUCAGGAGAAAUUGGAAAUACCUCUACCUGGACUCUGGAAUGGAUGACUCGCAGAGAGAGAAUCAAAUGUUUGGCAGAUCAUUUUCUGGCCCUGAUAAAUAUUCCUCAAUGUGAGUUUGAGAAGGACAGAGAUCACAGACUGCCUUCAUGGCCGGCUUUAAUGUUUAAUUAAUGUUGUUUCUUUUUUUUAAUAUGCAUGCAUUUAUUUUUUGUUUUUGCGCCGCCAAAAUGGGUCCAGCCCAACGUUGGACGCACGCGCCGACCCAAAUACGAAAGCGGACAUCUGUAUCCGUCUGGCCGGCUCAAACGGAAAAAAAAAAGCAAACGAAAUCGCCGUCCGUUUGGGUCGGCCAGUUGGAGUUGCUCAUUGGCUCGUUCCGCUGUCCCCAAAACUUUGGCACGGCCGUAGCGCACAUGAUCGAUGGCUCUGGCUGUUUGUUCAUAGCCUCAUAGGCAUUCCCUGUCUUUCCGACGCGACAGACAGAGGGAGAAGGUCAAUUCGAGGAAGCGCGGAAACGGAAACAUGGCAGUUCGGGCGGCAGAACCCAAAAACCGAAAGCAAAAGCGCGCGCCCGCGGCCCACCCAAAACGGCCAUGGCAGCCGACGGUUACUCCGAAUCUUCUGCCGCAGACCCCUCUCCCAGGCUCCCGCUCCAAUGCAAGACAUGCAUACCCCACGUAUCCACGGCCGACACUGCCCGCAUCGCCAUUAGCGGGCCGAUUAGCUAACAAGAUCCCAUUCAUUUUCCUGCAUCACCAAGCCCGUAAAUCUCUCCAAGCCUGCAUCGCCAUUAACGGGCCAAUUAGCUUACUGUUGUAAGAGUACCGUACUCCGUUAAGAAGAUCACAUUCAUCUCUCCGAGACUGCCUUUCUUUCUAAAAAAGAUCUACCUAAAAACCAAGCGUACGAAGGAAGAUUCACGCGGUAGCAGCUGAUGCUGAAUCACCAAAGUAGGUCCAUCCAAAAUCGCAUUGAAUAUUCCAAAUUUCAGCAGUAGUAACCGACGCCCCGGUCAUGUACACAGAAGAAUACAGCCUUUGCUUUUUUGUACUUACAGCUAUGAUGCCAGCCACGUUACUAUGAAAAUUUUUGGACGGAAGCAAAUUAAGGACGAGGAUUGGCAUUUCCAUACUAAAAUACAAACAAGCAACCAAUUUUCAGAUCUCAAAUUCCAUCACAUUCCACAUCUCAACCCGAUUUCAGAUCUGGAAAUCCAAAGAGGCAGAAAAAGAAUUUGCAUUGCAGGGCAAGAGCGAUUGACCAUAACCAUAAUUAAUUAGAUAAACAAUGCACUAUUUGUUUUCGACACCAUCACAAGGAUCUUGCUACGCUAAAAAACCUCGACAAAUCAAGCUGCUACGGUAAAACGGAGGCUCGGGGACGAACCCUCGCCGCCGCCGUCGUCGUUUCACCCACAGAUACACCUCCAAGGGUACGCCGGAUUGAACCAGAGCACCCCGACCCGGAUGUAAAAAUUUACAGUCUAGAACACACAAUCCUGGACUACCACCGACACAGAACAGGGGAAAACUGCUAAUGGAAACUGGUUUGCCGGAGGACGGAGGCUCUACUUCUUGGCCUUCUUGGCGGGG